UGGGGAAUAUUGGACAAUGGGGGCAACCCUGAUCCAGCGAUGCCGCGUGAGUGAAGAAGGCCCUCGGGUCGUAAAGCUCUUUGGGCCGGGACGAAGUGUGUUCGAGGAAAUGCGUGCACAUUGACGGUACCGGCAGAACAAGCACCGGCAAACCCUGUGCCAGCAGCCGCGGUAAUACAGGGGGUGCGAGCGUUAAUCGGAAUUACUGGGUGUAAAGCGCACGCAGGCGGUUGGAUAAGUUAGAUGUGAAAGCCCCGGGCUCAACCUGGGAAUUGCAUUUAAAACUGUCCAGCUAGAGUCUUGUAGAGGGGGUUAGAAUUCCAGGUGUAGCGGUGAAAUGCGUAGAGAUCUGGAGGAAUACCGAUGGCGAAGGCAGCCAUCUGGCCUAAUACUGACGCUG
rnacentral:rRNA from 1 species